rnacentral:snRNA from 1 species
GUGUGUUUAAGCUCUUUUAGAAUUUGUCUAUCAGGUAUUCCAUUCAGCAUCUGAAGGUCCUC